CCUACGGGAGGCAGCAGUAGGGAAUCUUCCACAAUGGGCGAAAGCCUGAUGGAGCAACGCCGCGUGGGUGAAGAAGGUCUUCGGAUCGUAAAACCCUGUUGUUAGAGAAGAAAGUGCGUGAGAGUAACUGUUCACGGUUCGACGGUAUCUAACCAAAAAGCCACGGCUAACUACGUGCCAGCAGCCGCGGUAAUACGUAGGUGGCAAGCGUUAUCCGGAUUUAUUGGGCGUAAAGGGAACGCAGGCGGUCUUUUAAGUCUGAUGUGAAAGCCUUCGGCUUAACCGGAGUAGUGCAUUGGAAACUGGGUGACUUGAGUGCAGAAGAGGAGAGUGGAACUCCAUGUGUAGCGGUGAAAUGCGUAGAUAUAUGGAAGAACACCAGAGGCGAAGGCGGCUCUCUGGUCUGUAACUGACGCUGAGGUUCGAAAGCGUGGGUAGCAAACAGGAUUAGAUACCCUUGUAGUC
rnacentral:rRNA from 1 species